UACGGAGGGUGCAAGCGUUAUCCGGAAUCAUUGGGUUUAAAGGGUCCGCAGGCGGGCUUAUAAGUCAGUGGUGAAAUCUCACAGCUCAACUGUGAAACUGCCAUUGAUACUGUAAGCCUUGAAUUCGGUCGAAGUGGGCGGAAUAUGACAUGUAGCGGUGAAAUGCUUAGAUAUGUCAUAGAACACCGAUAGCGAAGGCAGCUCACUAGGCCUGGAUUGACGCUCAUGGACGAAAGCGUGGGGAGCAAAC
rnacentral:rRNA from 1 species